GAACCAGGAAGUCCUUCCCCUCCCACAAACUCUCUUCUGAGGAAACGAAACUGAUCUGAGUCUCUGUCUCGUCUGUCUGUGUGAGAGGGAACAACUGUCCAAAUGGCUGAGCAGGAAGUUCUGCUGGACCAGGACCAGUUCUGUUGUUCUGUCUGUCUGGAUCUACUGAGGGAGCCGGUCACUACUGCCUGUGGACACAGUUACUGUAGGAGCUGUAUUGAGGACUGCUGGGAUCAGGAUGUUCUGAAAGGGGUCUAUAGCUGUCCUCAGUGCAGAGAGACCUUCACUCCAAGGCCGAAUCUGAGGAAAAAUAACAUGUUGGCUGAGAUGGUGGAGAAACUGAGGAAGACAGGACUCCAGGCUGCUCCCCGUCCUGCUCUGUGCUAUGCUGGACCUGGAGAUGUGGCGUGUGAUUUCUGCACUGGGACUAGAAAGCAGAAAGCUCUCAUGUCCUGUCUGGCGUGUCUGGCCUCUUACUGUGAGACUCACCUCCAACCUCACUAUGAAUUUCCUGGUUUCAAGAAGCACAAGCUGGUCAAAGCCACCGCUCAACUACAGGAGAAGAUCUGCUCUCAUCAUGACAAACUGCUGGAGGUUUUCUGUCGUACUGAUCAGCAGUGUAUCUGUAUGCUGUGUACAAUGGAUGAACAUAAAGGCCAUGAUACAGUGUCAGCUGCAGCAGAGAGGACUGAGAAACAGAGGCAGCUGGGGACGAGUCAGCAAAAGGUCAAGCAGAGAUUCCAGAAGAGAGAGAAGGAGCUGAAGGAGCUCCAACAGGCUGUGGAGUCUUUCAAGAACUGCCUGUUGGGCUGUUGUUGAGCGGCUGGUAUCACCCUUCUCCCAUUAUCCCCCACGUUGUUCCUCCUCUGCUUCUGGGAGGAACCAGGCGGGGCCACAGAGCAGACUCCCCCAUCUCAUCCCACCAACUCUGUCAGUCCAGCAGGCCCCACAAUGCAGCCUCCACACCACUGCAGUAACAGCCACAUCUUCCCAUCACAAAGCUUCAGUACUAUCUCAAUGUGUUGAUUUACCAUCCAGGAUCCUGUGUUAACGUCAAUGUGAAACAGCAUUGACCCGUGAUCACCACCAACCAGGGCUCCACAGCGGUAUCCUUCGAUGUCCAGGCUUCGCUCAAGAUCAACUGAAGGAGAUUUGGAAGGA